rnacentral:siRNA from 1 species
UCACUGCUUUCAGAUCCGC